rnacentral:pre_miRNA from 1 species
AAAAAGACAAACCCUGGUUUCCGUGUGAAAUGUUUGACUGUCAGUUUUAUAUGAAAUAAAUCUUUUUAUAAUUAGUAUUUUCAUUGUUGUUAGAUGAUAAAACAUGAUUAAUACUUUAUGCGUGACUUAUCUUUUUAAUUUUUUUCAUAAUUUUUUCAUAUAAGAUGCAUGGUCAAACGUUGAACACGGAAAUCCAGGGAUUGUCUUUUU